rnacentral:rRNA from 1 species
UCCAGCCAUGCCGCGUGUGUGAAGAAGGCCCUCGGGUUGUAAAGCACUUUCAGCGAGGAAGAACGCCUAACGGUUAAUACCCGCUAGGAAAGACAUCACUCGCAGAAGAAGCACCGGCUAACUCCGUGCCAGCAGCCGCGGUAAUACGGAGGGUGCAAGCGUUAAUCGGAAUUACUGGGCGUAAAGCGCGCGUAGGUGGCUUGAUAAGCCGGUUGUGAAAGCCCCGGGCUCAACCUGGGAACGGCAUCCGGAACUGUCAAGCUAGAGUGCAGGAGAGGAAGGUAGAAUUCCCGGUGUAGCGGUGAAAUGCGUAGAGAUCGGGAGGAAUACCAGUGGCGAAGGCGGCCUUCUGGACUGACACUGACACUGAGGUGCGAAAGCGUGGGUAGCAAACAGGAUUAGAUACCCUGGUAGUCCACGCCGUAAACGAUGUCGACCAGCCGUUGGGUGCCUAGCGCACUUUGUGGCGAAGUUAACGCGAUAAGUCGACCGCCUGGGGAGUACGGCCGCAAGGUUAAAACUCAAAUGAAUUGACGGGGGCCCGCACAAGCGGUGGAGCAUGUGGUUUAAUUCGAUGCAACGCGAAGAACCUUACCUACUCUUGACAUCCUGCGAAUUUGGUAGAGAUACCUUAGUGCCUUCGGGAACGCAGAGACAGGUGCUGCAUGGCUGUCGUCAGCUCGUGUUGUGAAAUGUUGGGUUAAGUCCCGUAACGAGCGCAACCCUUGUCCUUAUUUGCCAGCGCGUAAUGGCGGGAACUCUAAGGAGACUGCCGGUGACAAACCGGAGGAAGGUGGGGACGACGUCAAGUCAUCAUGGCCCUUACGAGUAGGGCUACACACGUGCUACAAUGGUCGGUACAAAGGGUUGCCAACUCGCGAGAGUGAGCCAAUCCCGAAAAGCCGAUCUCAGUCCGGAUCGGAGUCUGCAACUCGACUCCGUGAAGUCGGAAUCGCUAGUAAUCGUGGAUCAGA